rnacentral:rRNA from 1 species
GAUGAACGCUGGCGGCGUGCCUAACACAUGCAAGUCGAACGGAGAUUACGGACGGAAGUUUUCGGAUGGAAGACUGUAAUUCUUAGUGGCGGACGGGUGAGUAACGCGUGGGCAACCUGCCCUAUACAGGGGGAUAGCAGCUGGAAACGGCUGGUAAGACCGCAUAAGUCGGUUAAAUUGCAUGAUUUGAUCGGGAAAUGAGCAAUCAGGUAUAGGAUGGGCCCGCGUCCGAUUAGCCAGUUGGCAGGGUAAAAGCCUACCAAAGCGACGAUCGGUAGCCGGACUGAGAGGUCGGACGGCCACAUUGGGACUGAGACACGGCCCAAACUCCUACGGGAGGCAGCAGUGGGGGAUAUUGCACAAUGGAGGAAACUCUGAUGCAGCGACGCCGCGUGAGUGAAGAAGUAUUUCGGUAUGUAAAGCUCUAUCAGCAGGGAAGAUGAUGACGGUACCUGACUAAGAAGCCCCGGCUAACUACGUGCCAGCAGCCGCGGUAAUACGUAGGGGGCAAGCGUUAUCCGGAUUUACUGGGUGUAAAGGGAGCGCAGGCGGUUUGGCAAGUUGAGAGUGGAAGCAGGGGGCUCAACCCCUUGACUGCUCCCAAAACUGUUAAACUUGAGUAUGGGAGAGGCAGGCGGAAUUCCUAGUGUAGCGGUGAAAUGCUUAGAUAUUAGGAAGAACACCGGUGGCGAAGGCGGCCUGCUGGACCAAAACUGACGCUGAGGCUCGAAAGCGUGGGUAGCAAACAGG